GGCUUGACAUACACCGGAAAGCAUCAGAGAUGGGUCGCCCCCCUUGUGGUCGGUGUACAGGUGGUGCAUGGCUGUCGUCAGCUCGUGUCGUGAGAUGUUGGGUUAAGUCCGCAAGAGCGCAACCCUUGUCCCGUGUUGCCAGCAACUCUUCGGAGGUUGGGGACUCACGGGAGACCGCCGGGGUCAACUCGGAGGAAGGUGGGGACGACGUCAAGUCAUCAUGCCCCUUAUGUCUUGGGCUGCACACGUGCUACAAUGGCCGGUACAAUGAGCUGCGAUACCGCAAGGUGGAGCGAAUCUCAAAAAGCCGGUCUCAGUUCGGAUUGGGGUCUGCAACUCGACCCCAUGAAGUCGGAGUCGCUAGUAAUCGCAGAUCAGCAUUGCUGCGGUGAAUACGUUCCCGGGCCUUGUACACACCGCCCGUCACGUCACGAAAGUCGGUAACACCCGAAGCCGGUGGCCCAACCCCUUGUGGGAGGGAGCUGUCGAAGGUGGGACUGGCGAUUGGGACGAAGUCGUAACAAGGUAGGCGUAGCGAG
rnacentral:rRNA from 1 species